rnacentral:rRNA from 1 species
UACGUAGGGUGCGAGCGUUAAUCGGAAUUACUGGGCGUAAAGCGUGCGCAGGCGGUUCGUUAAGUCAGAUGUGAAAGCCCCGGGCUCAACCUGGGAACUGCAUUUGAAACUGGCGGGCUUGAGUAUGGCAGAGGGGGGUGGAAUUCCGCGUGUAGCAGUGAAAUGCGUAGAGAUGCGGAGGAACACCGAUGGCGAAGGCAGCCCCCUGGGCCAAUACUGACGCUCAGGCACGAAAGCGUGGGGAGCAAACAGGAUUAGAUACCCUGGUAGUCCACGCCCUAAACGAUGCUCACUAGGUGUUGGGGAAGCGAUUCCUUGGUACCGUAGCUAACGCGUGAAGUGAGCCGCCUGGGGAGUACGGCCGCAAGGUUAAA